GUAUGAAGUUGGAAUCGCUAGUAAUCGCGGAUCAGCAUGCCGCGGUGAAUACGUUCCCGGGCCUUGUACACACCGCCCGUCACACCAUGAGAGUCGGGAACACCCGAAGUCCGUAGCCUAACCGCAAGGAGGGCGCGGCCGAAGGUGGGUUCGAUAAUUGGGGUGAAGUCGUAACAAGGUAGCCGUAUCGGAAGGUGCGGCUGGAUCACCUCCUUUCUAAGGAGA
rnacentral:rRNA from 1 species